ACGGGUGAGUAACACAUCGGAACGUGCCCAAUCGUGGGGGAUAACGCAGCGAAAGCUGUGCUAAUACCGCAUACGAUCUACGGAUGAAAGCAGGGGAUCGCAAGACCUUGCGCGAAUGGAGCGGCCGAUGGCAGAUUAGGUAGUUGGUGAGGUAAAGGCUCACCAAGCCUUCGAUCUGUAGCUGGUCUGAGAGGACGACCAGCCACACUGGGACUGAGACACGGCCCAGACUCCUACGGGAGGCAGCAGUGGGGAAUUUUGGACAAUGGGCGAAAGCCUGAUCCAGCCAUGCCGCGUGCAGGAUGAAGGCCUUCGGGUUGUAAACUGCUUUUGUACGGAACGAAACGGUCUUUUCUAAUAAAGAAGGCUAAUGACGGUACCGUAAGAAUAAGCACCGGCUAACUACGUGCCAGCAGCCGCGGUAAUACGUAAGGUGCAAGCGUUAAUCGGAAUUACUGGGCGUAAAGCGUGCGCAGGCGGUGAUGUAAGACAGUUGUGAAAUCCCCGGGCUCAACCUGGGAACUGCAUCUGUGACUGCAUCGCUGGAGUACGGCAGAGGGGGAUGGAAUUCCGCGUGUAGCA
rnacentral:rRNA from 1 species